rnacentral:lncRNA from 1 species
UCAGGCAUAGAAACGGUUUUCCAAUUAGGAAGAGGUGGUUGUGGGGUGUAAGAGCAAUCAUCGCUAAGGAGGGAGAAAGGCAUGGUGCUCAGCAAAGCUGUAGGCAGCGCUGGGGCUGGAGGUGUCUGACGGGCCGGGGGAGCCACGUCACGGGAUAUUUUUAAGGGAAGGCCAGACAAAAGCUGCCAACUCGGCCAUCCCUGGUUCAUCGCGCAGACGCUCAGCGCACGCUGGCCGUGGGAUUUUUUCCAGCCAGCGUCAGCAGCCCCGUCCUGGCCGAGCAGCCCCGAUGCCGGUGCAGGAAUUCCUUGUCGGGCACAGGGGCUGUUAGGGGUGUGUGGACACAGUGAAGGAUGUGGGCUUUUUUCCUUGCUAUUUAUAGCUCGGGCUGGUGAUAUUUUGCAGCUUGGGCAUGGUGUAGAUCAAACGUUAAACAACUGAACCGAUCCCUGUGUAGUCUGUGCACGGCAGUUUGUUGGCCAGGGCUGAUGGGAUUUGUGUGAUGGCACCCGGGAUGCUUUGGGUCCCCGGUCCCCGUUCCCCUCCCCUGUUCCAGAAAAGCUGUUGGGGCUGAGGGCAGGCACAAUGGUGAUGCCCUGGCCUCUCCUUCCCCACACUCUGGCUCUGCCCCACAGGAUACUUUCCCUACGAGAGAGCUGGGGCCAUGACGAACUUUCCCGAACCGAUUUUUGGACCAAAGCCUCCCCCGCCAGGGCCGGCAGAGGAGCAGCUGCUGCUGACACACACGGACCCCAUGCCUUCGCACGACCCCGGCGAGCGUGCCGUAAGCGUGCAGCGGGAAUACGGGUACCCGUCGGUGGUGGCACGCUGUCCUGCCGUGCCGUGGAGGCCAUCGGAGGGGCAGGAGUGGCGAUUACCUGAGCUGACCGCAUCUCGUGGGCUCGUCACCUCGCCAGCAGGACUCAGGCAGCCUGUAAAAAUUGAAGGUGUGACUCUGCCAGGAGUGACUGAAGCUGCAGGGUGUAGAGAGAAAUGAUCGGCUACCAAAGCUGGAUGUACCGAACGUGAUCCAGCAGAAAGUCAUCUCAGGGUACACCGGAUACAUACCCCGCUUCACCUGGAUGACUGGUGUUAACUACUUGCAGGGCGUGAAGGACGCCAUGGCUGAAUUUGACAGACAUCAGGUAGAGUCACGCACAAAUCUUAUUUCAAUGAUAUAAUGUUGGUCUCGAGUCAUCUGCAGCACCACAGGCAGUUGCAUUUGCUGCAGCAGUAUUUGAGCUGGGGUUAUAAGUACAAGCAAAAUAAAACGCUAUUAGGUAACACGUUGAAAAAAUCAUGAGCAAUUAAAUUCUGUAACUUAAUGUCCCAAGGAAACAAGGGAGGAUAAAUGAGUUCAUAAAAGGAUUAAGCAAAUCUAUUGAGGGUUGGUUUAAGGGUGGCUAUUAAAAGUGCUGCUCUGGGUGCACAAACGCAGGAUCCAGCUAUCUGCACUCCCCUUAUGCAAUAUAUCCUCUGGUACCUGGAUGGCUUCCUGGGCUUCUUGGAUGGAUAUUCCUCCUUUUCAAGUGUUGUAGAGAUUUUUCCUUUACUAACGUAACUUGUCUUAAAAGGAUUUAGAUCUUCUCAUUUUCUGUGUCCAUCCCAAAAAGCAGAGAAAUAUCCCUAUUGAAAAAAAUCUCCUAUUUUGCCCCCUUGCUGUAAGAUCCCCCCACUACAAAGCCGUAUGACCCUCCUACAUGGGAAAACGAGACCCCUCCCACCCCAAUUAGCAGAUUGCAUCCAAAGCCACACAGGUCCCUCCUGCUACCAGAAUGGUGUGAGAGCCCCGGGAUGCUGCAGCCUUGCUGGGUGAGUGCCAGUGAGCACCGAUGGGCUCAGUGACAGCUCAUUUUAAAAGCAGGCUGCAAAAUUUUUCACCCUUUCUGGUGAGCAGGAUUCGCUGUGGUGCCUUUGUCCCAGAGCGUGGGGGUCGGAUGUAGGAAAAGGUGCAAGCCCGAAGGACCCCCUGGCUGGGAAGAAAUGGCUCUGUGGGGACUGCAGUGGGGCUGUCGGGAUCAGGGUGCCUGGUAGCAUCCUGAUGCUUUGGCUGAAAUGUCUGAAGAUUUUUCUUGUGUGGCUUCCUUCGCCUUCCCUUCUGUGGUUAAUAGAAAUAGAAAUAAAGCAAAGAGAACAAAAAGCAGACGAUAUUACAACUAAAAGUGCUGCUUGCAAAUCACUUCUGCCCUGAUUUUUUAAGAAAUAUGUGCCAGUGAAGGAGGUGGAUGGUGUUUCUCCAUUGCAGGGGUCAGAAAAAUUCAGGCUUGCAGAGGUUUUUUGCAGUGCAGGAGGCACUGAAGGAAUGAAUGUAAGCACACUAAAAAAAAAAAAAAUAAUAAAUCACAGCACAUUUCUAUCUAAGAUGGCUUCUGCCUUCAAGCCACUAAUCUUCUGCCCUAAAUCUCUGUUGCCCUAGGUUACGUGCUAGGAUGCGCCACGGAGCGUUUCUUACUGGCUGCAUCGGGCAAAAUAAUGCAAUCCUCUCGCUUCAGCGCUGCCCUGGGCAGGCAGGAGGAUUGCACCGCCGCAACCCGUGCGGUCACACAAGGGUUCGAUGGCCCCGGCAGCUCGCGUGGCUCCCUCAACCCUCCCUUUACCACCGAGCAGGGGCCGCGCUAACGAGGCAGCGGGGCUUUUCUGAGGGCUUUUGGGGUUUUGCCACCCCAAGGAUGUGAGCCCCGCACUGUCCUUUGGCGCAGCGUUAGCGGGGUCUGACCUCCGGGGCAGGUGACGGAGGAAGAUUUCACUCUCCCUUCCGUUAACGCGCCCUAAGCCUUCCUCUUCCUCCUAGGCUGGGAAUUACGGGCUAAUCGCUGUCAGUGGGACGCACGGAGAAAACAAAACCAGUUCAGGGGCUCACACCAAAACGAGGCACGCAUCCCGCUGCGGCAGCUCCGUGAGCUGUGGCCCAAGCCCAGAUGCGAUGGCUGCAACCUAGCUUUAAAUUAGAAGGAAAGGGAACUGGUGAGAGAAUUGCUUCUCAUCAGCCCAAGUAUUUCCUUUAAUUAGGACACGGCUUGGGUAGCAGUGUUUUACAACUCCUGCUGCUGGGUUUUGUUUUCCAGUUCCUGCAGCGAUACCCGGCUCACAGCUUCGGCAAGAGAUUUCCCCAAACUUACUGGCCUGACAACAGAAUUUACACCAGUGCUGGACUGAUACCGGCCUACACAGGCUUCGUACCACGUAAGUUCAUCAGUUGAAUGAAAAUGGAAGUCACUAAUUACCAUCAUUAAGUAGUGCUGUUGAUAGCUGCAGCGUCAUGGUAGAGCCCUGCGAUGUUCCACAGGGGCAGUAAAUGUGCCGGGCUGCUGGAGCCGUGCCCCCACCUGUCCCCCCACGGCUGCAUGGCAGCUUCUUCAUCAAGGAAGGGAUUCUGUUCCCGAAAAGCUUAAAGGGUGAUUAAAAAAAAAAAAGCAAAAGGUAGAUGAUGCAAAGGGGUGGAGACUGCACCAAAAGCUGUGAAUUGGUAUAAGCCAUUGCAGGUGGUGGUGGCCCUGUUCUGGCCUGCCAGGCUUUGGGGGUCCCAAAAAGGAGAGGUGUGAAGGGCAGUGUGGGGUCUGGGGUCUGCCCUGAACCAUGAGGAGCGGUGCUCCAGUUGCUCAGCUGGCAACCAGGAGAGCCCAAGGCACAAACACGAGGAGUUGUGUUCUAACGGGGUUCCAGCAGGACUCAGUGCUGAGGCACCGCUGAUCCUGCUAUCAGCGU